rnacentral:rRNA from 1 species
GACGAACGCUGGCGGCGUGCUUAACACAUGCAAGUCGAACGGAAAGGCCCUGCUUUUGUGGGGUGCUCGAGUGGCGAACGGGUGAGUAACACGUGAGUAACCUGCCCUUCACUUUGGGAUAACUUCAGGAAACUGGGGCUAAUACCGGAUAGGAGCUCCUGCUGCAUGGUGGGGGUUGGAAAGUUUCGGCGGUUGGGGGUGGACUCGCGGCUUAUCAGCUUGUUGGUGGGGUAGUGGAUUACCAAGGCUUUGACAGGUAGCCGGCCUGAGAGGGUAACCAGCCACAUUGGGACUGCGAUGAGGCACAGACUCCUACGGGAGGCAGCAGUGGGGAAUGUGGCACAAUGGGCGGAAGCCUGAUGCAGCAACGCCGCGUGCGGGAAGACGGCCUUCGGGUUGUGAACCGCUUUCGGCUGUGACGAAGCGUGAGUGACGGUACUGGGUAAAGAAGCACCGGCUAACUACGUG